CCUACGGGAGGCAGCAGUGGGGAAUAUUGCACAAUGGGCGCAAGCCUGAUGCAGCCAUGCCGCGUGUAUGAAGAAGGCCUUCGGGUUGUAAAGUACUUUCAGCGGGGAGGAAGGCGGUGAGGUUAAUAACCUUGCCGAUUGACGUUACCCGCAGAAGAAGCACCGGCUAACUCCGUGCCAGCAGCCGCGGUAAU
rnacentral:rRNA from 1 species